rnacentral:rRNA from 1 species
UAACAGGAUUAGAUACCCUGGUAGUCCACGCCGUAAACGAUGGAUACUUGUUGUUGGUGGUAUUGACCCCAUCAGUGACGAAGCAAACGCGUUAAGUAUCCCGCCUGGGAAGUACGGCCGCAAGGUUAAAACUCAAAGAAAUUGACGGGGGCCCGCACAAGCGGUGGAGCAUGUGGUUUAAUUCGAUGCAACGCGAAGAACCUUACCUGGGUUUGACAUCUACUGGAAGAGUCUCAGAAAUGAGCUCGCCUUCGGGUCGGUAGACAGGUGCUGCAUGGCUGUCGUCAGCUCGUGUCGUGAGAUGUUGGGUUAAGUCCCGCAACGAGCGCAACCCUUAUGUUUAGUUGCCAGCAUUCAGUUGGGCACUCUAAACAGACUGCCGACGUUAAGUCGGAGGAAGGUGGGGAUGACGUCAAGUCCUCAUGGCCUUUAUAUCCAGGGCUACACACGUGCUACAAUGGUCGGUACAGAGGGCUGCCAAAUCGCAAGAUGGAGCUAAUCCCAUAAAACCGAUCUAAGUUCAGAUUGAGGUCUGCAAUUCGACCUCAUGAAGCUGGAAUCGCUAGUAAUCGCGGAUCAGAACGCCGCGGUGAAUACGUUCCCGGGCCUUGUACACACCGCCCGUCACACCAUGAAAGUUGGUUUUACCAGAAGUCACUGUGCUGACCGUAAGGAGGCAGGUGCCCAAGGUAUGGCCGAUGAUUGGGGUGAAGUCGUAAC